GCAUCAUUGAAAUGAAUCGAACGUCUGUUUCUCUGCUUGCUUGGUUAUAAGAUAAGGGAAUAUAUAUUUAUGGACCAGAGCUCCUGACGAUUAUUUUAGAGUUUAAUGUUAUGUGUUGCGUUUUUCUCAACUAAUUGGUGGUUUCCAUUAACUCAAGUGUCAAGAUAUUCCUGGAUCACUGGGGGUACAUAAGGAUUUAGAAAAAAAAAUGAUUCAGUUAAAAGCAGCUAUGAUUGGAAUAGCUGUUGUAGGUAGUAUCUGUUAUGCUUUGUAUACCCACUUUAAAAAUAGAGAACAGGAACAGAAGCAAUCUUAUCGUCACAGACCUCCACCCAGUAAAAGAAAUGCCGAUACCCAUGUGACAAAUACUUCAAGUGCAUUAAAGAAAGAGUGCAGCAUUUGCUUAAGCCCUAUAACUCCAUCCACACCCUUCAGGUUUUUAAAUUGUUUACAUGUAUUUCAUGAGGAAUGCAUUAAUUCGUGGUUGAAAAUCAAAGGAAACUGCCCAAAUUGUAGGACUAAAGUUUGAGUAUGUUAUGUGAACCGAUGAAAAGCAAAGCACUGUAAAUCAGAUGACAAUAAACUACUGCACUUUGCUUUUAAGGACCCGAGUCUGUGUGAAAUUAUAU